AACGAACGCUGGCGGCGUGCUUAACACAUGCAAGUCGAACGGAAAGGCCUCUUUCGGGGGGUACUCGAGUGGCGAACGGGUGAGUAACACGUGAGUAACCUGCCCUUGACUUUGGGAUAACUUCAGGAAACUGGGGCUAAUACCGGAUAGGAGCUCCUGCUGCAUGGUGGGGGGUGGAAAGUUUCGGCGGUUGGGGAUGGACUCGCGGCUUAUCAGCUUGUUGGUGGGGUAGUGGCUUACCAAGGCUUUGACGGGUAGCCGGCCUGAGAGAGUGACCGGCCACAUUGGGACUGGGAUACGGCCCAGACGCCUACGGGGAGCAGCAGUGGGGAAUAUUACACAAUGGGUGGAAGCCUGAUGCAGCAAAGCCGUGUGCGGGAUGACGGCCUUCGGGUUGUAAACCGCUUUCGCUCAUGACGAAGCUUUGUGUGACGGUAGUGGGUAAAGAAGCACCGGCUAACUACGUG
rnacentral:rRNA from 1 species